rnacentral:rRNA from 1 species
AUUGAACGCCGGCGGCAGGCUUAACACAUGCAAGUCGAGCGGAGAUGAGGUGCUUGCACCUUAUCUUAGCGGCGGACGGGUGAGUAAUGCUUAGGAAUCUGCCUAUUAGUGGGGGACAACAUUCCGAAAGGAAUGCUAAUACCGCAUACGUCCUACGGGAGAAAGCAGGGGAUCUUCGGACCUUGCGCUGAUAGCUCAGCCUAAGUGGGCUUGGCUGGUUGGUGGGGUAAAGGCCUACCAAGGCGACGAGCUGUAGCGGGUCUGAGAGGAUGAACCGCCACACUGGGACUGAGACACGGGCCAGACUCCUACGGGAGGCAGCAGUGGGGAAUAUUGGACAAUGGGGGGAACCCUGAUCCAGCCAUGCCGCGUGUGUGAAGAAGGCCUUAUGGUUGUAAAGCACUUUAAGCGAGGGGGAGGCUACUGAGACUAAUACUCUUGGAUAGUGGACGUUACUCGCAGAAUAAGCACCGGCUAACUCUGUGCCAGCAGCCGCGGUAAUAC